rnacentral:rRNA from 1 species
UAGGGAAUCUUCGGCAAUGGACGGAAGUCUGACCGAGCAACGCCGCGUGAGUGAAGAAGGUUUUCGGAUCGUAAAGCUCUGUUGUAAGAGAAGAACGAGUGUGAGAGUGGAAAGUUCACACUGUGACGGUAUCUUACCAGAAAGGGACGGCUAACUACGUGCCAGCAGCCGCGGUAAUACGUAGGUCCCGAGCGUUGUCCGGAUUUAUUGGGCGUAAAGCGAGCGCAGGCGGUUAGAUAAGUCUGAAGUUAAAGGCUGUGGCUUAACCAUAGUAGGCUUUGGAAACUGUUUAACUUGAGUGCAAGAGGGGAGAGUGGAAUUCCAUGUGUAGCGGUGAAAUGCGUAGAUAUAUGGAGGAACACCGGUGGCGAAAGCGGCUCUCUGGCUUGUAACUGACGCUGAGGCUCGAGAGCGUGGGGAGCAAACAGGAUUAGAUACCCUGGUAGUCCACGCUGUAAACGAUGAGUGCUAGGUGUUAGACCCUUUCCGGGGUUUAGUGCCGUAGCUAACGCAUUAAGCACUCCGCCUGGGGAGUACGACCGCAAGGUUG